UUAAUCAAAACAACCUAACUGCAAUUUGAUGUUACUUGGAAGGUGCAAUAACAACAACAACAAAAAAAAAAACGUGAGUUAUCGUAUUUUGCAAAUGAGCUCUUCAUAUAUACAGUAGGUGGCCAUCCAAAAUGAUGGUUCUACCGCCGCGCGUACCGCCGCUGUUGCGUCUGCAAAGUGCAUUUGCAGCUUUUGACCGCUGAGUGGCGCUUUAACCACAAGUUAUCAAACAAGCGCGUCAAAGCACAUUUUCGCAAAUAGCCGUCAGCUUUGCCUCGCUGGUGUGUUACAUUUGACAGCUGCAAUCAGAGAAAAUGAAAGAAAAACACAGUAGUUAAAAUAUUUAAUAUUCACAGAUGAACGUUUAGUACUUAUGUGGCAAGUGUAAUGUUGUUACACUAGAUUAUUGAAAUUAUUAUUAACUAAUGGCACUAACGCAGGAGGCUUUUAUUUUGAAAUUUGUAUUAGGGAAAAUUGCACAGUGAUGAAGAGUCAUGUGAUCGCAAGCACAAUAAUAUUGUCACUUAUUUCUUUUUACAUAUAUAAUUUGUAUUUCUUUGUUAUUAGUUUGGUUUUCUCCCUUUCUUAUGAAAUUGUUAAUCUAUAUAAAAUGUUUAGGAAGAACUGUUUACGUGAGUUACGUCGUCUGUAAGCACGAGGGAAGAGCUGAUGUAAUUUCCGGUGCUCUCUCUCUUUCGCGGGAUGUCAUUGCGAUGAGAGGCACUGCUAGACCUGAUAUUCUCCUGUUACUACCUGAUGGUGUCUGUUAUACUUUGAUACAGGUAUGUAAAUGGAUCAUUAUAGUACUGGUUUCUUUUCCUGCGUUUUUCUCUCGUAUAUUAUUAUUGUAUUUGUUUUUAUAAUUGUUAUUGUACGUUAUAAUGGUCUCUCUUUCGCGGGAUGUCAUUGCGAUGAGAGGCACUGCUAGACCUGAUAUUCUCCUGUUACUACCUGAUGGUGUCUGUUAUACUUUGAUACAGAAACUUCAGAAGCCGAAAGUAAACCACGUGACAACCGCAUCAUGGUGUGAGGUCUCUUUUAUUAUCAAAACACACAACGCAGAAGAAAACCCACUACACUUAUGAAGUCGUGUGUUUCUUAGAACGAAUUUAAACAGGAUAAAUAUCAAGCCUAUGAGCCUGUGCUUAUAUUUUCUCUAAGCUGCACAGUAUUACACCAUAUUUUAGAUUUGACACAUUUAAUAGGUGUGCAGUAUUAUUUAUAUAAUAUGAAUUAUGUGUUAUAUUAUUCUAAAGAAAUUGUGGUUUACGUUGCAUUGGAGCAUUAAAAGUGGUAGCCUAUUUUAGUGAGGUAGGCUACAUGGAUUUAUAUGCAAAAUGUCAAUAUUCUCACAUAUUAGGCUUAUAUUUUAAUUUAUAUUUUAAAAUUCCUUCAAUAAAACAGAAUCGUGAGGCA
ensembl:lncRNA